rnacentral:rRNA from 1 species
GUGAGGAAUUUUCCGCAAUGGGCGAAAGCCUGACGGAGCAAUGCCGCGUGAAGGAUGAAGGCCUAUGGGUUGUAAACUUCUUUUCUUAGAGAAGAAUAUUGACGGUAUCUGAGGAAUAAGCAUCGGCUAACUCUGUGCCAGCAGCCGCGGUAAGACAGAGGAUGCAAGCGUUAUCCGGAAUGAUUGGGCGUAAAGCGUCUGUAGGUGGCUUCAAAAGUCUCCUGUCAAAGAUCAGGGCUUAACCCUGGGGCGGGAAGAGAAAAUAUGGAGCUAGAGGUUGGUAGGGGCAGGGGGAAUUCCCGGGGGAGCGGUGAAAUGCGUAGAGAUCGGGAGGAACACCAAAGGCGAAAGCACUCUGCUGGGCCACAACUGACACUGAGAGAAGAAAGCGAGGGGAGCAAAAGGGAUUAGAUACCCUUGUAGUCC